rnacentral:rRNA from 1 species
AGCUUGCUCCUGGAUUCAGCGGCGGACGGGUGAGUAAUGCCUAGGAAUCUGCCUGGUAGUGGGGGACAACGUUUCGAAAGGAACGCUAAUACCGCAUACGUCCUACGGGAGAAAGCAGGGGACCUUCGGGCCUUGCGCUAUCAGAUGAGCCUAGGUCGGAUUAGCUAGUUGGUGAGGUAAUGGCUCACCAAGGCGACGAUCCGUAACUGGUCUGAGAGGAUGAUCAGUCACACUGGAACUGAGACACGGUCCAGACUCCUACGGGAGGCAGCAGUGGGGAAUAUUGGACAAUGGGCGAAAGCCUGAUCCAGCCAUGCCGCGUGUGUGAAGAAGGUCUUCGGAUUGUAAAGCACUUUAAGUUGGGAGGAAGGGUUGUAGAUUAAUACUCUGCAAUUUUGACGUUACCGACAGAAUAAGCACCGGCUAACUCUGUGCCAGCAGCCGCGGUAAUACAGAGGGUGCAAGCGUUAAUCGGAAUUACUGGGCGUAAAGCGCGCGUAGGUGGUUUGUUAAGUUGGAUGUGAAAUCCCCGGGCUCAACCUGGGAACUGCAUCCAAAACUGGCAAGCUAGAGUAUGGUAGAGGGUGGUGGAAUUUCCUGUGUAGCGGUGAAAUGCGUAGAUAUAGGAAGGAACACCAGUGGCGAAGGCGACCACCUGGACUGAUACUGACACUGAGGUGCGAAAGCGU